GCUCAGGAUGAACGCUGGCGGCGUGCUUAACACAUGCAAGUCGAACGAAGAUACUUAAAAUGAGAGCUUCGGCAGGAUUUUUAUUUAUCUUAGUGGCGGACGGGUGAGUAACGUGUGGGCAACCUGCCCUAUACUGGGGGAUAAUCGCUGGAAACGGUGACUAAUACCGCAUGUCAUUACGGAAGGGCAUCCUUCUGUAAGAAAAGGAGUAAUUCGGUAUAGGAUGGGCCCGCAUCUGAUUAGCUAGUUGGUGAGAUAACAGCCCACCAAGGCGACGAUCAGUAGCCGACCUGAGAGGGUGAUCGGCCACAUUGGGACUGAGACACGGCCCAAACUCCUACGGGAGGCAGCAGUA
rnacentral:rRNA from 1 species